rnacentral:rRNA from 1 species
AUGGCCUUGUUUAGACACUUUCAUCAAGGGACGUUGGAUGUUCAGCGGUUGAACUACGGGAUUAUCAUGCUGCUUCCGAAGCUCUUUGGGGCUGACAAAAUCCAACAGUUCAGACCCAUAUGUUUGCUUAGAUGCCCCUAUAAGCUCAUCACAAAAGUCCUAGUUCGCCGGGUAUCGGUGUAUGCUGACAAGCUAAUUAGUCCAGUCCAAAAUGCCUUUGUCAAAGGGAGAAGCAUCAUGGAUGGUGUUCUCUCGCUUCAUGAGAUCUUAAAUUACACACAUGUGAAAAAUAGGGUUGGCGUGGUGUUGAAACUGGACUUUGAAAAGGCGUAUGAUAAGGUUAACUGGGACUUCUUGCUAGAGUGUCAUAAGCUGCAGGGAUUCAAUGAAACCUAG